CAAUCACACUUUGCUGAAUACAUUUUGUGUAAAACCAUGAUUCAAUAAUACAAGGUUGGGUAACCUGGCGGUUGUCUCGCUCCCGCAUUCUGCCUUAGCCUGUGUUGCCUUCUUUUUUGAUUUGUAGAAACUACUACUAAAAUACAAGGAGAAAUAUUGUCUUCGUAUAAAAGUUCAACAGUUCAUCGAUUGUUUCGUGGAAAUUCAUUUUCUUAUUGGGCAAAUUCAAGGUAUAGGAGUUAUUCAUAAUUUGUAUUCAAAAAGUAGCGUUUUACAACAAGUGCAGCCGUUGCAAGUAAGUUUUGCCGGCUAGGAUCCCUGUGUGUCCGUCCACGUAUGGCUGGUGCAGAAAAUACAAAUAUUAAUAAAUAUAUUCUCUUGUGAAGGUCAGGAUCACUUGGGUGUCCGUCCACGUUUGCUGGUGCAUGUAUUUUUACCACUGCAGCGUUUUGGUUGGUCAAGAGCAGCCUUUGCAUAUUUA